AUCAUAUUCCUCUGUGCCUUCCUAUUUCUUAGAAGAAAGAGGUCCUCUAAACGAAUCACCGAGCAACGAGAGAGACCAGACAACCAAGCUCAGG